AUUACAACUUUCAACAACGGAUCUCUUGGUUCUGGCAUCGAUGAAGAACGCAGCGAAAUGCGAUAAGUAGUGUGAAUUGCAGAAUUCAGUGAAUCAUCGAAUCUUUGAACGCACAUUGCGCCCUUUGGUAUUCCAAAGGGCCAUGCCUGUUCGAGCGUC
rnacentral:rRNA from 1 species